rnacentral:misc_RNA from 1 species
GAAAUGCGAUAAGUAAUGUGAAUUGCAGAAUUCAGUGAAUCAUCGAAUCUUUGAACGCACAUUGCGCCCGCCAGAGUGCUGGCGGGCAUGCCUGUUCGAGCGUCAUUUCAACCAUCAGGCCCCCCCAAGGGGCCUGUGCUGGGGUCCUGCGGCUGCCCGCAGGCCCUGAAAACCAGUGGCGGGCUCGCUAGUCACACCGAGCGCAGUAGCACAUCUCGCUCAGGGCGUGCGGCGGGCUCCUGCCGUGAAACCCCCCACUGUAACCCCAAAGGUUGACCUCGGAUCAGGUAGGAAUACCCGCUGAACUUAA